UACGGGGGGAGCAAGCGUUGUUCGGAUUUACUGGGCGUAAAGGGCGCGUAGGCGGCCACCGCAAGUCAGUUGUGAAAUCUCUGGGCUUAACCCGGAAAGGUCAAUCGAUACUGCAGGGCUAGAGUGCAGAAGGGGCAACUGGAAUUCUCGGUGUAGCGGUGAAAUGCGUAGAUAUCAAGAGGAACACCUGAGGUGAAGACGGGUUGCUGGGCUGACACUGACGCUGAUGCGCGAAAGCCAGGGGAGCGAACGGG
rnacentral:rRNA from 1 species